UACGUAGGGGGCUAGCGUUGUCCGGAAUCAUUGGGCGUAAAGCGCGUGUAGGCGGUCCGGUAAGUCCGCUGUGAAAGUCGGGGGCUCAACCCUCGGAUGCCGGUGGAUACUGUCGGGCUUGAGUACGGAAGAGGCGAGUGGAAUUCCUGGUGUAGCAGUGAAAUGCGUGGAUAUCGAGAAGAACACUUAGGGCGUAGGCAAGACUCUGGACAAAUGCUGACGCUCAUGCACGAAGGCUAGGGUAGCGAACGGG
rnacentral:rRNA from 1 species